rnacentral:rRNA from 1 species
UGGGGAAUAUUGGACAAUGGGCGAAAGCCUGAUCCAGCCAUGCCGCGUGUGUGAAGAAGGUCUUCGGAUUGUAAAGCACUUUAAGUUGGGAGGAAGGGCAGUAAGCGAAUACCUUGCUGUUUUGACGUUACCGACAGAAUAAGCACCGGCUAACUCUGUGCCAGCAGCCGCGGUAAUACAGAGGGUGCAAGCGUUAAUCGGAAUUACUGGGCGUAAAGCGCGCGUAGGUGGUUCGUUAAGUUGAAUGUGAAAGCACCGGGCUCAACCUGGGAACGGCAUCCAAAACUGGCGAGCUAGAGUAGGGCAGAGGGUGGUGGAAUUUCCUGUGUAGCGGUGAAAUGCGUAGAUAUAGGAAGGAACACCAGUGGCGAAGGCGACCACCUGGGCUCAUACUGACACUGAGGUGCGAAAGCGUGGGGAGCAAACAGG